rnacentral:rRNA from 1 species
CAUAGGUUAAUGAGGCGAACCGGGGGAACUGAAACAUCUAAGUACCCCGAGGAAAAGAAAUCAACCGAGAUUCCCCCAGUAGCGGCGAGCGAACGGGGAGGAGCCCAGAGCCUGAAUCAGUGUGUGUGUUAGUGGAAGCGUCUGGAAAGGCGCGCGAUACAGGGUGACAGCCCCGUACACAAAAAUGCACAUAUUGUGAGCUCGAUGAGUAGGGCGGGACACGUGGUAUCCUGUCUGAAUAUGGGGGGACCAUCCUCCAAGGCUAAAUACUCCUGACUGACCGAUAGUGAACCAGUACCGUGAGGGAAAGGCGAAAAGAACCCCGGCGAGGGGAGUGAAAAAGAACCUGAAACCGUGUACGUACAAGCAGUGGGAGCCUCUUAAUGGGGUGACUGCGUACCUUUUGUAUAAUGGGUCAGCGACUUAUAUUCUGUAGCAAGGUUAACCGAAUAGGGGAGCCGAAGGGAAACCGAGUCUUAACUGGGCGUUAAGUUGCAGGGUAUAGACCCGAAACCCGGUGAUCUAGCCAUGGGCAGGUUGAAGGUUGGGUAACACUAACUGGAGGACCGAACCGACUAAUGUUGAAAAAUUAGCGGAUGACUUGUGGCUGGGGGUGAAAGGCCAAUCAAACCGGGAGAUAGCUGGUUCUCCCCGAAAGCUAUUUAGGUAGCGCCUCGUGAAUUCAUCUCCGGGGGUAGAGCACUGUUUCGGCAAGGGGGUCAUCCCGACUUACCAACCCGAUGCAAACUGCGAAUACCGGAGAAUGUUAUCACGGGAGACACACGGCGGGUGCUAACGUCCGUCGUGAAGAGGGAAACAACCCAGACCGCCAGCUAAGGUCCCAAAGUCAUGGUUAAGUGGGAAACGAUGUGGGAAGGCCCAGACAGCCAGGAUGUUGGCUUAGAAGCAGCCAUCAUUUAAAGAAAGCGUAAUAGCUCACUGGUCGAGUCGGCCUGCGCGGAAGAUGUAACGGGGCUAAACCAUGCACCGAAGCUGCGGCAGCGACACUAUGUGUUGUUGGGUAGGGGAGCGUUCUGUAAGCCUGUGAAGGUGUACUGUGAGGUAUGCUGGAGGUAUCAGAAGUGCGAAUGCUGACAUAAGUAACGAUAAAGCGGGUGAAAAGCCCGCUCGCCGGAAGACCAAGGGUUCCUGUCCAACGUUAAUCGGGGCAGGGUGAGUCGACCCCUAAGGCGAGGCCGAAAGGCGUAGUCGAUGGGAAACAGGUUAAUAUUCCUGUACUUGGUGUUACUGCGAAGGGGGGACGGAGAAGGCUAUGUUGGCCGGGCGACGGUUGUCCCGGUUUAAGCGUGUAGGCUGGUUUUCCAGGCAAAUCCGGAAAAUCAAGGCUGAGGCGUGAUGACGAGGCACUACGGUGCUGAAGCGACAAAUGCCCUGCUUCCAGGAAAAGCCUCUAAGCAUCAGGUAACAUCAAAUCGUACCCCAAACCGACACAGGUGGUCAGGUAGAGAAUACCAAGGCGCUUGAGAGAACUCGGGUGAAGGAACUAGGCAAAAUGGUGCCGUAACUUCGGGAGAAGGCACGCUGAUAUGUAGGUGAAGCGACUUGCUCGUGGAGCUGAAAUCAGUCGAAGAUACCAGCUGGCUGCAACUGUUUAUUAAAAACACAGCA